ensembl:lincRNA F730016J06Rik RIKEN cDNA F730016J06 gene
GACCUGUGUCUGCCCAGACUUACCUCAGUGAUGGAGUGUGACCUGAGAGUUCUAAGCUGAGGGGAAACUGAGGCUGAGAGAUGUCUGCUGCAAACACGUCUCCACCCACUAUGACCUGAGUGUGCCCCCGGGGCUCACUCUCCCCUGGCCUGCAGUGAUUUUUCUCUGGGUGUGCUGGAGAGUGGAGAUGGGAAAAGCUACAGUCUCUGAACCCAACUGAAACAGGCUGCCCUGCACUCUGGACAGACCGAUCCCUGGCAGUGGCAGGUGUAUGGAUCUGCAAGUGUGUGCAUGUACCUGAGCAUCCCACGGAGUGUGUGUGGGCUUGAGAGAAGGUACCCACCUUCUGUCAGCUAUCAGCUGACUUCACUUAAACAGCAGGGGAACAGAAGAGAGGAUGGGAAUGCUGGCUGGGACAUUCACAGACACCUUCCGAUCUGACAGGGACAGGAUGUUUGGUUUAGUUCUGAAGACUGGAGAGGGUAUAAACAGGAGAGCCGGAGGCAGCUGCCGCUCCCCCUGCUGCUGCUGCUUUUGCUGUUGCUGAAUUUCUGGUUGGAGCUAUCCUGAUGACAGAGAUUGGACUUGUCACCAAGGAACGGGACACCCCUAAUGAGCAGGACGUAGUCUAAAGAGGCCCCAGCUCAGCAUGGAACUGGACCAACUCCUGACGGACUACCCAGCACUGAGUCACAGCGGCAUCGUGCUGACCCAAGGGAGCCACAGAGUCCAACUACUGAAAAUACAAGCCAGUCCCUAGAGCCACCAGGUUCGGACUUCAAUGUAUACUUUGUGGGUUCAGUUCAACUCCACCACGCUUGUACAUGUAUGACUGGCUUCUGUCCCUGGACCAUUCCCCUUCUCCUUAAGUGAGGACUCUCUAGUAUGGAUUUAGUUCACUGAAGCAGACACAUGAGCGGAUGUUUUGCUGAGAACAGACACGUGGCGUUUUUCCGGAAGCUGUCUUGUGAGAGGGCAUGUGACGUUUUGCUGGAACAGACACUGGAGAGGGAACAUGGUGUUUAAAAUGAAUAAAGAAGUACCAAAGAGCUUUGCGCCACUUCUGGGGACUUACGGUGAUAUGGCAGAGCUUUACAGUUUCUUCUGGAUCAAGCCACUGCUACUGAAUCGUGUUGGGUGUUUUCCGAUUGGGUUGGACUGCCACUAUUGAUUCAUGGUGGAUGUUUUGGACUGGACUGCUGAUAUCCUGACCACAAAAUUGAAAUCCCUCUUGUCCUACAAACCGUCUUCUUCCUCUACCUCUGGUCAGUGGGAUAAAAGGGAAGUGAAGGUGUUUAAGAACCCUACGUAAAGUAGGUUUUG